AACUUUUGGCAAUGGAUCACUUGGCUCUCGCAUCGAUGAAGAACGCAGCGAAAUGCGAUAAGUAAUGUGAAUUGCAGAAUUCAGUUAAUCAUCGAAUCUUUGAACGCACCUUGCACCCUUUGGCAUUCCGAAGGGUAUGCUCGUUUGAGUGUCAUUGUACUCUCACACUCCCGAUGCUUUUGGAUUGGGAGUGGUGGACUUGGGUGUUGCUUCUUUACUGUGGCUCACCUCAAAUGGAGUAGUGCAACUCUUGGUUGGACAUAGUACGGCGUGAUAAGUGUCUUCGCCGGCGCCUCAUUAGAGGGUGGCCGAUCGGGAGCUCUGUGCUUCAAACCGUCUUCGGACAACAUCUGACAACUUGACCUCAAAUCGAGUAGGACUACCCGCUGAACUUAAGCAUAUCAAUAAGCGGAGGCU
rnacentral:misc_RNA from 1 species